rnacentral:tRNA from 1 species
GCCUGGGUGGCUCAGUGGUUGAGCAUCUGCCUUCAGCUCAGGUUGUGAUCCCAGGGUCCUGGGAUUGAGUCCCAAAUCGGGCU